UGGCGGCGCGCUUAACACAUGCAAGUUGAACGAGAAAGGGUAGCAAUACCUGAGUACAGUAGCGUACGGGUGAGUAACACGUGGAUCAUCUACCUUCUAGUGGGGAAUACCUCUGGGAAACCGGAGACAAUACCGCAUAAGCCCGCAAGGGGAAAGCAGCAAUGCGCUGGAAGAGGAGUCCGCGGCUGAUUAGCUAGUUGGUGAGGUAACGGCCCACCAAGGCGAAGAUCGGUAGCCGGCCUGAGAGGGCACACGGCCACACUGGCACUGAAAUACGGGCCAGACUCCUACGGGAGGCAGCAGUGGGGAAUCUUGCACAAUGGGGGAAACCCUGAUGCAGCGACGCCGCGUGAGCGAUGAAGCCCUUCGGGGUGUAAAGCUCUUUCGACGGGAACGAUAAUGACGGUACCCGGAGAAGAAGCUGCGGCUAACUACGUGCCAGCAGCCGCGGUAAUACGUAGGCAGCAAGCGUUGUUCGGAAUUACUGGGCGUAAAGAGUGCGUAGGUGGUGCUCUAAGUUUGGUGUGAAAUCUCCCGGCUUAACCGGGAGGGUGCGCCGAAAACUGGAGUGCUUGAGGGUGGGAGAGGUAAGCGGAAUUCCUGGUGUAGCGGUGAAAUGCGUAGAUAUCAGGAGGAACACCUGUGGUGUAGACAGCUUACUGGACCACUUCUGACACUGAGGCACGAAAGCGUGGGUAGCAAACAGGAUUAGAUACCCUGGUAGUCCACGCCCUAAACGAUGCAUACUUGGUGUGAGCCAUUCAUUUGGUUCGUGCCGGAGCUAACGCGUUAAGUAUGCCGCCUGGGGAGUACGGUCCAAGGCUGAAACUCAAAGGAAUUGACGGGGGCCCGCACAAGCGGUGGAGCAUGUGGUUAAAUUCGACGCAACGCGAAGAACCUUACCUGGGCUCGAACGGCUUAAGAACAGCUUUAGAAAUAUUGCCUUCUCGCAAGAGACUUGAGUCGAGGUGCUGCAUGGCUGUCGUCAGCUCGUGUCGUGAGAUGUUGGGUUAAGUCCCGCAACGAGCGCAACCCUUGUCCUGUGUUGCCAUCAUUAAGUUGGGCACUCUCAGGAGACCGCCAGCGAUAAGUUGGAGGAAGGUGGGGAUGAUGUCAAGUCAUCAUGGCCUUUAUGUCCAGGGCUACACACGUGCUACAAUGGACGGUACAAACCGCUGCAAACCCGCGAGGGGGAGCUAAUCGGAAAAAACCGUUCUCAGUUCGGAUCGCAGGCUGCAACUCGCCUGCGUGAAGCUGGAAUCGCUAGUAAUGGCGUAUCAGAAUGACGCCGUGAAUACGUUCCCGGGCCUUGUACACACCGCCCGUCACAUCACGAAAGUGGAUUGUACUAGAAGUCCUAAUCAAACAGGCCCAAGGUAUGAUUCAUGAUUGGGGUGAAGUCGGAACAAGGUA
rnacentral:rRNA from 1 species